UGGGGAAUUUUGGACAAUGGGCGAAAGCCUGAUCCAGCAAUGCCGCGUGAGUGAAGAAGGCCUUCGGGUUGUAAAGCUCUUUUGUCAGGGAAGAAACGGUGAGAGCUAAUAUCUCUUGCUAAUGACGGUACCUGAAGAAUAAGCACCGGCUAACUACGUGCCAGCAGCCGCGGUAAUACGUAGGGUGCAAGCGUUAAUCGGAAUUACUGGGCGUAAAGCGUGCGCAGGCGGUUUUGUAAGUCUGAUGUGAAAUCCCCGGGCUCAACCUGGGAAUUGCAUUGGAGACUGCAAGGCUAGAAUCUGGCAGAGGGGGGUAGAAUUCCACGUGUAGCAGUGAAAUGCGUAGAUAUGUGGAGGAACACCGAUGGCGAAGGCAGCCCCCUGGGUCAAGAUUGACGCUCAUGCACGAAAGCGUGGGGAGCAAACAGGAUUAGAUACCCGAGUAGUCCCUGAGCGGGCUGGCAAGGCGCGAU
rnacentral:rRNA from 1 species